rnacentral:rRNA from 1 species
UACGUAGGUGGCAAGCGUUGUCCGGAAUUAUUGGGCGUAAAGCGCGCGCAGGCGGCCUUUUAAGUCUGAUGUGAAAGCCCACGGCUCAACCGUGGAAGGUCAUUGGAAACUGAAAGGCUUGAGUACAGAAGAGGAAAGCGGAAUUCCACGUGUAGCGGUGAAAUGCGUAGAUAUCAGGAGGAACACCUGUGGCGAAGGCGGCCCUCUGGACGGAUACUGACGCUGAGACGCGAAAGCGUGGGGAGCAAACAGG